UGGGGAAUUUUGGACAAUGGGCGAAAGCCUGAUCCAGCAAUGCCGCGUGUGUGAAGAAGGCCUUCGGGUUGUAAACCGCUUUUGUCAGGGAAGAAAUCUUCUGAGUUAAUACCUCGGGAGGAUGACGGUACCUGAAGAAUAAGCACCGGCUAACUACGUGCCAGCAGCCGCGGUAAUACGUAGGGUGCAAGCGUUAAUCGGAAUUACUGGGCGUAAAGCGUGCGCAGGCGGUUUUGUAAGACAGAGGUGAAAUCCCCGGGCUCAACCUGGGAACUGCCUUUGUGACUGCAAGGCUUGAGUGCGGCAGAGGGGGAUGGAAUUCCGCGUGUAGCAGUGAAAUGCGUAGAUAUGCGGAGGAACACCGAUGGCGAAGGCAAUCCCCUGGGCCUGCACUGACGCUCAUGCACGAAAGCGUGGGGAGCAAACAGGAUUAGAUACCCUGGUAGUCCACGCCCUAAACGAUGUCAACUGGUUGUUGGGAAGGUUCCUUCUCAGUAACGUAGCUAACGCGUGAAGUUGACCGCCUGGGGAGUACGGCCGCAAGGUUGAAACUCAAAUGAAUUGACGGGGUCAUAGCUGUUUCCU
rnacentral:rRNA from 1 species